rnacentral:rRNA from 1 species
UACGUAGGGGGCAAGCGUUGUCCGGAAUCAUUGGGCGUAAAGAGCGUGUAGGCGGCUCGGUAAGUCCGCUCUGAAAGCCUGGGGCUCAACCUUGGGAGGCGGGCGGAUACUGUCGGGCUAGAGUCCGGAAGAGGCGAGUGGAAUUCCUGGUGUAGCGGUGAAAUGCGCAGAUAUCAGGAGGAACACCAAUGGCGAAGGCAGCUCGCUGGGACGGUACUGACGCUGAGACGCGAAAGCGUGGGGAGCAAACAGG